GACGAACGCUGGCGGCGUGCUUAACACAUGCAAGUCGAACGGAAAGGCCCUACUUUUGUGGGGUGCUCGAGUGGCGAACGGGUGAGUAACACGUGAGUAACCUGCCCCUUACUUUGGGAUAACUUCAGGUAACUGGGGUUAAUACCGGAUAGGAGCUCCUGCUGCAUGGUGGGGGUUGGAAAGUUUCGGCGGUUGGGGAUGGACUCGCGGCUUAUCAGCUUGUUGGUGGGGUAGUGGCUUACCAAGGCUUUGACGGGUAGCCGGCCUGAGAGGGUGACCGGCCACAUUGGGACUGAGAUACGGACCAGACUCCUACGGGAGGCAGCAGGGGGGAGUAUUGCACAAUGGGCGGAAGCGUGAUGCAGCAACGCCGCGUGCGGGAUGACGGCCUUGGGGUGGUAAACCGCUUUCGCCUGUGACGAAGCGUGAGUGACGGUAAUGGGUAAAGAAGCACCGGCUAACUACGUG
rnacentral:rRNA from 1 species